rnacentral:rRNA from 1 species
CCUAGGGGAGGCUGCAGUGGGGAAUAUUGGACAAUGGGGGCAACCCUGAUCCAGCCAUGCCGCGUGUGUGAAGAAGGCCCUCGGGUUGUAAAGCACUUUCAGUGAGGAAGAACGCCUGGUGGUUAAUACCCAUCAGGAAAGACAUCACUCACAGAAGAAGCACCGGCUAACUCCGUGCCAGCAGCCGCGGUAAUACGGAGGGUGCGAGCGUUAAUCGGAAUUACUGGGCGUAAAGCGCGCGUAGGUGGCUUGAUAAGCCGGUUGUGAAAGCCCCGGGCUCAACCUGGGAACGGCAUCCGGAACUGUCAAGCUAGAGUGCAGGAGAGGAAGGUAGAAUUCCCGGUGUAGCGGUGAAAUGCGUAGAGAUCGGGAGGAAUACCAGUGGCGAAGGCGGCCUUCUGGACUGACACUGACACUGAGGUGCGAAAGCGUGGGUAGCAAACAGGAUUAGAUACCCGAGUAGUC